rnacentral:rRNA from 1 species
AUGAACGCUGGCGGCGCGCCUAACACAUGCAAGUCGAACGAUUAAAGCACCUUCGGGUGUGUAUAAAGUGGCGAACGGCUGAGUAACACGUGGGCAACCUGCCCCUCUCAUUGGGAUAGCCACGGGAAACCGUGGAUAAUACCGAAUACUUCGGGACUUCCGCAUGGAAGACUCGAGAAAGCUCCGGCGGAGAGGGAUGGGCCCGCGGCCUGUUAGCUUGUUGGUGGGGUAAUGGCCUACCAAGGCAAUGAUGGGUAGCUGGGUUGAGAGACCGACCAGCCAGAUUGGGACUGAGACACGGCCCAGACUCCUACGGGAGGCAGCAGUGGGGAAUCUUGCACAAUGGGCGAAAGCCUGAUGCAGCGACGCCGCGUGCGGGAUGAAGGCCUUCGGGUUGUAAACCGCUUUCAGCAGGGACGAGGCGAAAGUGACGGUACCUGCAGAAGAAGCCCCGGCUAACUACGUG